rnacentral:rRNA from 1 species
CCUACGGGAGGCUGCAGUGGGGAAUAUUGCACAAUGGGGGAAACCCUGAUGCAGCGAAGCCGCGUGAGUGAAGACGUAUCUCGGUAUGUAAAGCUCUAUCAGCAGGGAAGAAGAAAGACGGUACCUGACUAAGAAGCACCGGCUAACCACGUGCCAGCAGGCGCAGUAAUACGGAGGGGGCCGGCGUGAUCCGGAUUUACUGGGUGUAAAGGGGGCGUAGACGGCUUUGCAAGUCUGAAGUGAAAGCCACGGGCCCAACCCCGGGACUGCCUGUGAAACUGGGGAGCUAGAGUGAGGGAGAGGCAGGCGGAAUUCCUGGUGUAGCGGUGAAAUGCGUAGAUAUCAGGAGGAACACCGGUGGCGAAGGCGGCCUACUGGACCGCGACUGACGUUGAGGCACGAAAGCGUGGGGAGCGAACAGGAUUAGAUACCCUAGUAGUC